rnacentral:rRNA from 1 species
CCUACGGGAUGCAGCAGUGAGGAAUAUUGGUCAAUGGACGAGAGUCUGAACCAGCCCAGUAGCGUGAAGGAUGACUGCCCUAUGGGUUGUAAACUUCUUUUAUAUGGGAAUAAAAUGUUCCACGUGUGGGAUUUUGUAUGUACCAUAUGAAUAAGGAUCGGCUAACUCCGUGCCAGCAGCCGCGGUAAUACGGAGGAUCCGAGCGUUAUCCGGAUUUAUUGGGGUUAAAGGGAGCGUAGGUGGAUUGUUAAGUCAGUUGUGAAAGUUUGCGGCUCAACCGUAAAAUUGCAGUUGAAACUGGCAGUCUUGAGUACAGUAGAGGUGGGCGGAAUUCGUGGUGUAGCGGUGAAAUGCUUAGAUAUCACGAAGAACUCCGAUUGCGAAGGCAGUUCACUGGACUGCAACUGACACUGAGGCUCGAAAGUGUGGGUAUCAAACAGGAUUAGAUACCCGUGUAGUC